GACGAACGCUGGCGGCGUGCUUAACACAUGCCAGUCGAACGGAAAGGCCUCUUUCGGGGGGUACUCGAGUGGCGAACGGGUGAGUAACACGUGAGUAACCUGCCCUUGACUUUGGGAUAACUUCAGGAAACUGGGGCUAAUACCGGAUAGGAGCUCCUGCUGCAUGGUGGGGGUUGGAAAGUUUCGGCGGUUGGGGAUGGACUCGCGGCUUAUCAGCUUGUUGGUGGGGUAGUGGCUUACCAAGGCUUUGACGGGUAGCCGGCCUGAGAGGGUGACCGGCCACAGUGGGACUGAGAUACGGCCCAGACUCCUACGGGAGGCAGCAGUGGGGAAUAUUGCACAAUGGGUGGAAGCCUGAUGCAGCAACGCCGUGUGCGGGAUGACGGCCUUCGGGUUGUAAACCGCUUUCGCUCAUGACGAAGCUUUGUGUGACGGUAGUGGGUAAAGAAGCACCGGCUAACUACGUG
rnacentral:rRNA from 1 species